ACAGACCAAUAGCGUCUAAAAUAAAAUUAGUGUUUUAGCAUCAGUGUACUGAUAACAUCUUUUAUAAUAGAGUAACUUCAGUAACUCUCACAUUUAAAUGUUGUUUAGUGAGCAUUGAGCUCAUUGACUUGGGCACUUCUUUUUUUACCUUACCAGAAUUGAAUGUACCUACAGGCGCUACAGACGCUACAGCUAUUCUCGACUUAAUUUGUCACUGGAACAAUGUAGAAAUUAUCAGAAAUUAUCAUGGAAUUGUUAAAAAAGGGGGUGUUGUUCGGUUCAAAAGAGUUCAAUCCAGUAUUAUACACACGCCCACUCCACCUCACGGAAAUUUGCUCCUGCAGCAACAAUUGCGCCACUGCGAGUAGGCGCGCUAGUAAGACAAUUUACUUUGAAUGUAUUGUCAAAUCAGCAUCAGUGUACCUCACUUUGUGAACUAAUUCAUCCAAAAUAAGUAAUCCACCUAUGGUAAAUUGGAAAAGAAAAUUGUAUAUAUUUUUUAUAUUUUUAAACGUUGUUAAAUUCAGAGUAAUUUUAACUCUAAAUACAAUCUAUAAGAAUUGUCAAAAUCUAUAGGAUAGUUUUCGGGUCUAUAAUUAGUUUCAAACACGU